GAUGAACGCCGGCGGUGUGCCUAAUACAUGCAAGCCGUACGCACUGGCCCAACUGAUUGAUGGUGCUUGCACCUGAUUGACGAUGGAUCACCAGUGAGUGGCGGACGGGUGAGUAACACGUAGGUAACCUGCCCCGGAGCGGGGGAUAACAUUUGGAAACAGAUGCUAAUACCGCAUAACAACAAAAGCCGCAUGGUUUUGUUGCCAAAGAUUUAUCGCUCUGAGAUGGCCUCGCGUCUGAUUAGCUAGUUGGCGGGGUAACGGCCCACCAAGGCGACGAUCAGUAGCCGGACUGAGAGGUUGGCCGGCCACAUUGGGACUGAGACACGGCCCAG
rnacentral:rRNA from 1 species